GACGAACGCUGGCGGCGUGCCUAAUACAUGCAAGUCGAACGCUUUCUUUUUCCACCGGAGCUUGCUCCAACCGGAAAAAGAGGAGUGGCGAACGGGUGAGUAACACGUGGGUAACCUGCCCAUCAGAAGGGGAUAACACUUGGAAACAGGUGCUAAUACCGUAUAACAAUACAAAACCGCAUUGGUUUUGAUUUGAAAGGCGUCUUUCGGGUGUCGCUGAUGGAUGGACCCGCGGUGCAUUAGCUAGUUGGUGAGGUAACGGCUCACCAAGGCCACGAUGCAUAGCCGACCUGAGAGGGUGAUCGGGUCACAGUUGGGACUGAGACACGGCCCAAACUCCGUACGGGAGGCAGCAGUAGGGAAUCUUCGGGCAAGUGGACGAAAGUCUGACCGAGCAACGCCGCGUGAGUGAAGU
rnacentral:rRNA from 1 species